GACGAACGCUGGCGGCGUGCUUAACACAUGCAAGUCGAACGGAAAGGCCCUGCUUUUGUGGGGUGCUCGAGUGGCGAACGGGUGAGUAACACGUGAGUAACCUGCCCUUGACUUUGGGAUAACUUCAGGAAACUGGGGCUAAUACCGGAUAGGAGCUCCUGCUGCAUGGUGGGGGUUGAAAAGUUUCGGCGGUUGGGGAUGGACUCGCGGCUUAUCAGCUUGUUGGUGGGGUAGUGGCUUACCAAGGCUUUGACGGGUAGCCGGCCUGAGAGGGUGACCGGCCACAUGGGGCCUGAGAUACGGCCCAGACUCCUACGGGAGGCAGCAGUGGGGAAUAUUGCCCAAUGGGCGGAAGCCGGAUGCAGCAACGCCGCGUGCGGGAUGACGGCCUUCGGGUUGUAAACCGCUUUCGCCUGUGACGAAGCGUGAGUGACGGUAAUGGGGAAAGAAGCACCGGCUAACUACGU
rnacentral:rRNA from 1 species